GUGCUUUCUUCGGCAGCACAUGCACUAAAAUUAGAAUAAUACAGAGAAGAUUAGCAUGGCCCAUGUGCAAGGAUGACAUGCAAAUUCGUGAAGUAUUGCAUUUCUUU
ensembl:snRNA U6 U6 spliceosomal RNA